rnacentral:lncRNA from 1 species
GGCUGCUAAGAUUUCACAUUGGCCUUUUUCUUCUUAUAACAGUACUGAUAGUUCAGCCCUUUUUUUUCUUCAAUCCACAAAACACAGUAAAGAUGGGUCUGGUUAUUGGUGAUUUUACAUUUACAACUGUAACUUUAAAAACAUUAAGAAAAACACUAACACUUACCUGGUAUUUCUUUAAUUCUCUGCUGUAGUCUGCCAUACUCGAUUUGAUUCUGAGCACGUCCUCCAUGAGGUUUCUGAUUUCUUCAUAUCCAUUUUCCAUGUUAUCCUUCACUUUGGCCAUCGUAAGGACUGAAGUCAUGACGUCUUGUUUUUGUCUUUCAACGUCUUCUUUUUGUUUUUGUAUUUGGAUCUUUGUGAUUUCUAACUCGUCUCUCUGUCUUAUUGUCUUCUCUAACCGACAGUCGAGCUCUCGUCUCUUUUUCUUUGCCUGAAAAUAAACCCAUUUCAUUUGCUUGGAUUUACAUUGAUCACAAACGUGCAGGAACCGCGGCAGACUUUCCUCUCUUGUCUUCUUUUGUUCUUCCUCUGUGUCUUGCACAGUUUUUCUUGCUUCCUCAGUCUUAAUGGAUGUGUCUUCUUUUCUCUUCCUGUUCCUUCUUAUCAUCUUCUCCAGAUCGAUUUUCUUCAUUUGGACUUCCCUGCUCACCACUUCCAUCUCUCUGAUUUCUCUCUUUACUCUUUGUAACUUGUUGUCUAACUCUUUCAUUUCACCUUCAAUAGUCUUUCUUGUAUUCUUCAGUGCAUCCAUUUCAGUAUCAAUUAGUUUCCUGUUUCUCUCUAUGUCUAAUCUAUCUACUUCCAUCCUAAUUUUGAUUGUUUCAAUCUGAGAUUUUUCAGAUUGGACUUGUAUUGAAUAUUCUUUAAGUUCAUUAAAAGUAUUUUCCAUGUUUUCCUGAAUUUGGCAAAGUUGGGUUUCCAAAAGGUCAAAUGUAGAUGUCCGUCUGUUAGUUUCUCUCUGCUUUGUACUUCUGCAUCCUUCAAGAGGUUUUUAAUGUCAGCGAUUAUUUCUGUCAUCCGUUGUUUUUGCUCAUCCAUGUUUUCCAGUUUGCCAUCUGUUGCUGUUGAAGGUUGUGUCUCAUCUGACAGUUGUUCGUUUUCCAUCAUCAU